CGUUUAAUUAGCACUUGUUGGUUUAAUGAAAGAGAGUGAAUUAACGACGAUCAUCCUGUUAAAAGUCCUGAGUAUAGUCCUUUUCAGAACUGCUCAGGCCUUUAGAACCCAGUUCUCUAAUGAACCCCUAUUUAAGGGUUGAAAAUUUUGUUCUUCUUUCUCCUCUGUGAUGUAUUUUUCCCCUUUUCGCAUGUGGAUACUGAAAAUUAUAAUUACUUGUUGAUGAAAAAUGCACGUUAAGAUCUCCUGAUAAAAAGCCCCUCAAUAGGUGAAAACAUGUCCUGAUGUUACUUCAAUUCCAAAAUAGUAAUCCUGGGUGGCACUACCUCAUGAGACCCUGAGGCUUUGGAGCUGUUUAUAGACUUGAAAAUUGGUUCAAUUUCAUCACCAUGAGCUGUUGCUUAUCACCUUCACUCUGACUUUCAAGUCCUCUGAGUCCGACCUUGAGCUCUCAUCUCAUGAUACCAACACCUUGAAAUAGGCUCAAACUGUUCCAUAUCCAAACAAAUAUAAGCAGGGGAGACCUCUUCUCUGACUUUUUAAUUUAAUGGAAAUAGACAAGUGACUGGCUUCUGGUUCACCUCGGCAAUAGCAGCGUGUCCUUGUUAUAGUGCACUGGACCUUGACUUAAUGUCUGGAAAAGACAUAGAAGCUUUAUCUAGCCCAAGAGAAAGCCAGGAUAAUAAUCAUAGAAUGCAAAUAUGAGAAAGAGAAUUAGAUGGGGCCUCAGAGGUCACCAGAGUUUGGCAAGGCUCCACUUUACAGAUGAGGAACUCAAGUCAUGACAGUGUAUACUAGUUUCCUGUUGCUGCCAUAACAAGUGAUCACACACUUGGUGACUUAAAACAAUACAGAUUUAUUCUUGUAUGGUUCUGGGGGUCAGAAGUCUUAUGGGGCUAAAAUCAAGGCAUCAGCAGGGCUGGUUCCUUCUAGUGGCUCCAGGGGAGAAUCCAUUCCUUGCCUCUUCCAGCUUCUACAAGCCAACGGCACUCCUUGGCUUCUGUCUGCAUCACUCCAAUCUCUGCUUCCCUGGGCACAUCAACUUCUCUCUGUCUCUGAUCCUCCUGCCUCGCUCUUGCAUGAAUCUGUGUGAUUACUUUGAGCCCACCUGAAUACUCCCAGAUAAUCUGCCUAUUUCAAGAUCCUCAAUUUAAUCACAUCAGCGAAGUCCCUUUUGCCAGAUAAAGUAACAUUCACAGGUUCUGGAGAUUAGGACAUGGACAUCUCUGGAGGCCACUGUCCAGCCUACCACGUGGGGUAAAGAGAUUUGCUUAAGUUGACACCAUGAGGAAGGAGCCAGGCCUAGGACUGAGGUCUCUCAGCUGCUCCUGUUUAUCUACCACCUGGGGGUCAGCUGAGGCCUCUCUGACAUUCCAGAUUAAGUGAAAUUGAAUCCAGCCCCAUCUCAGGUUCUGUGAGAAGGUUAAUGUGCUCUGCAAGAUUGGGCUAACUCUCCAUCAUAUCUUCUCAAGGUCACCUCUCCCCCACACCCACUGAGCUCCUGCCACCGCUGAACUCCAAAUUUCACCUGCAUCUCAACUCCUAUAUCAGUUCUCCAGGGUCUCCAAAAGGCACCUGUGAUCAUCACUUAUACUUCCAGGAAGGGGAUAAGACCCCCACAGCCCCUUUAGCCGGGAAUAUCUUUACAUAUGAAAAUAGGAGGUUUUGGAAGGAUGCUUUUUUUCCCACUCUUCUUCCACUUUUUGCUCCAAGAAAUACUUCCUACACCCAUUGCUCGCUGAAGUCUUCUAAUGGGAACAGUAUUUUUUAUUACCCAAAUACACAUCUAGUUUCCGAAUUCUCCUGGAGAAGAGCAUGCAAUAUUUCAAAUUCACAUGAAGGUGUAGUUGACUGAUAGCUGAUCCUCUCCUGAGAAGACAUUUUAAUGCAGGAAAGGCUGUGGGCACAUGAGAUGCAGGUCAGGUGAUGCAGAGACGAGCACAGAGAGGAAAGGUGGGUGCACUUCUCUGCUUCCCGCAGAGCCAGGCCCGCAUCAGUGUUGUCAACACCUCUGCUCUCUCUCUCUCCCCACCUCUUAGUGCUGUUGUUCCCUGAGUGUUGGCUUAUUCUCCAUUAUCACAGCAGGUCAUUUUCCAUGUGGCAGGAAAGAUGGCCACAGGCAGCCUCAGAUUCAAAUCCUUCCAGCAUCUCAGAGGCAGGCAGCUGUCUUCCCCUUUGGUUUCUACAAAACCGUCCCAAAGAAGGGCUCUGAUUGGCCUGGCUUGGUCAUGUGCUCACUUCUGAACCAAUCUCUGCAACCAGCAGGGGAUGGUGCACUGGUCCAGGCUGGGUCAUGUGCCCACACUGUGGCUGAAGUAGGGGGCAGGGUGCACUAUCAGAGGAAGGGACAGGAGGAAAAUCAUGCUGGGCAACCCAAAUCCAUGGCUACUUCAGCCCCCAGCUUAUCUGUGUGUGUCUGGUAGCCAUGGUCCACGGUGAAUGAAGGGAGACAAUGAUGAGACAGAAGCCAGGGAAGGAAGGAAAAUAAAGAGUGUGCCCAGAGGAUAUAGAGCCUGUGAAGGUGAAAUUGCUCCUCUUCUCCUUGGGAAGCAGUAGUUUCAAAGAGGAAAGCUGGAGAAAAACAUUCCCUCCAUGGGCAGGGAGCCCCGAGUCAUGUCACACCUCCAGCAGCAACAUGGAAUGCCUUUAGUGGGCACAGCACCUCCAGCUUCACAUUC
rnacentral:lncRNA from 1 species